GGUCGAAUAGUGUAAUGGAUAGCACAUAAGAUUUCGAUUCUAGUAGUCCCGGUUCGACUGCGGGUUUGACCA
rfam:Aspergillus parasiticus ST-1 760, whole genome shotgun sequence.